rnacentral:lncRNA from 1 species
GGCAUUUGAAAGAAACAAAAACAAAAAUAAAAUGUGAGAUAACCGGGAACCACGCAUUACAUUUUCUCAUCUUCCCCAAAUUAUCCAAUGUCACCUAGAGACUACACCCAUCUUCUCACUCCAUCGCAAGCUAACCAAUCGGUGGCACAACUCCGACCAUCCCGAUUGAAGGCUUUUAUUGCUAACCAAUUGAAAAAACUAAACUAAACUCCCAAUUGAAAUCUUAUUUUGCGUCCUUUCUCACCUAUUCAGUUCAAACCUUGGACACAUUCUCCAAAGCCAUCGCCUCCAUUCAUAACGGCGAGACAAAAUAGCCGGACUCAUCUCCACUUCCGACCGGCUCAAAACAAGUGAAGAAGGUACCGCAGAAGCAUUACCCAAACAUACCUGUCGAGAUUUAAAGGAAGUGAGCCCUGUUGUUCACCUCUCCCGCAGCGAAAGCACCACCACAGUUCUCCUCCUUCGUCUGAUGCCAAACCACCACUUAAGAACACAUUUCCGUCAAGUUUAUAAAGGUAAUGGGGGAGUUAAUUAUGUUAUAAAAAAUCAGACCUAGAUGUAUAUAACAAAAUUAUUGAUGUGCAAUUGAAAUCUUUGUGAAUAGUCAUUUAUAUAGGAGGUUGAGUUGAUGAAUAAACAAGCUUUUAGUCAAGAAUUUGCUUGUUUGAGAAUUCAGGUAGUGAGCCUAAAAAGGGGGUGGAGUUGGUGAGAUUAUUAAAAGAAGAUAUGCAUUUUAUUGCUCUGUUCUCUACUACAGCAAAGUUUUUAAGAAGAACUGUUGGGAUGGCUCUGGUUCUUUAGGAGGAUAUGCCUAAUGCGUGUUGUAGGUGUUGUGAUUUUAAAUUUUGAAAACUUUAGCAUUGAACAUGAAUUAUUCUCAAUCUUCUUAGUUCGCGUAGUAUUGACAUUUGUUUUAUGUGGUUGUUUUGCAUAUCAGAAUGGGAGGAAGGAAUGUUUUAUGUGGUCGUAUAAGGAGAAUCAAGUAGUGAAUCCUGCUGUCAAGGAGGAGGUCGAAGACUUGUCAAGCAUUUUUGAAACGCUAGCUCGAAUAAGUGAAAAAGAAGACGUCAAGAUUUAAUUAAACGUGACAUUCCUCAAAGGAAAAGAGAUUGAGGAAGGGAAUUCGAAAGGAAGGGGGCUGGCUUGAUUAGUAGUGAGGACGGGAAUUAUAAUAUUAUUGUAAUUUGUAUUUGUAUUUGAUAUUGGAAAGUGGGUGUAAAUUUUGUUCCAUUUAUUAUAUGUGGCAUCUGUACAUCUCAUUCUUGCCAUGGACCUGAGCUUUGCAUUUUAUGUUGAGGGUGAAUGCUCGAUAUAUUGAAUAAUAGUGAAAGAGUUUAAUGAAAUGAAGUUAAUGUAAUUUGAG